UACGAAGGGGGCUAGCGUUGUUCGGAAUUACUGGGCGUAAAGCGCACGUAGGCGGGUUGUUAAGUCAGGGGUGAAAUCCUGGAGCUCAACUCCAGAACUGCCUUUGAUACUGGCAACCUAGAGACUGGAAGAGGUUAGUGGAAUUCCCAGUGUAGAGGUGAAAUUCGUAGAUAUUGGGAAGAACACCAGUGGCGAAGGCGGCUAACUGGACCGACACUGACGCUGAGGCGCGAAAGCGUGGGGAGCAAACAGGAUUAGAAACCCUA
rnacentral:rRNA from 1 species